rnacentral:rRNA from 1 species
CAGUAGCCGCGGGAACACGUAGGGUGCGAGCGUUGUCCGGGAUUAUUGGGCGUAAAGAGCUUGUAGGUGGUUUGUCGCGUCUGCUGUGAAAAUCCGAGGCUCAACCUCGGACUUGCAGUGGGUACGGGCAGACUAGAGUGUGGUAGGGGAGACUGGAAUUCCUGGUGUAGCGGUGGAAUGCGCAGAUAUCAGGAGGAACACCGAUGGCGAAGGCAGGUCUCUGGGCCAUUACUGACACUGAGAAGCGAAAGCAUGGGGAGCGAACAGGAUUAGAUACCCGCGUAGUCCCUGUCUCUUAUAC